UUGAGGAGGAUUUGAUCCUGGUCCAGGAUGAACGCUGGCGGCGUGGAUAAGGCAUGCAAGUCGAACGAUCUUCCGCGCCGGGCGGAGGGGAGCUUGCUCCCCAAUGCCCUGCGGAAGGGAGUGGCGAACGAGUUAGUAAUACCUUGGUAACCUACCCCCAAGACGGGCAUAACCCGGGGAAACUCGGGCUAAUUCCCGAUAGUCCUACUGCGGCAACGUAGUAGGUAAAGGAGCAAUCCGCUUGGGGAGGGGCCUAGGUCCGAUCAGCUUGUUGGUGAGGUAACGGCUCACCAAGGCGAUGACCGGUAGGGGAGGUGAGAGCCUGACCCCCAACGGCGGCACUGAGACACGGGCCGCACACCUACGGGUGGCAGCAGUCGAGAAUAUUCCGCAAUGGGCGAAAGCCUGACGGAGCGACGCCGCGUGCAGGAAGAAGGCCUUCGGGUUGUAAACUGCUGUAGCAAGGGAAGAAGCCUUCGGGCUGACGGUACCUUGCGAAAAGGGGUUGGUAACUACGUGCCAGCACCAGCGGUAAUACGUAGACCCCGAGCGUUAUCCGGAUUUAUUGGGCGUAAAGGGGGCGUAGGGGGCCGGAUUAGUCUUUUGUGAAAGCCCACUGCCCAACGGUGGGAACGCGAAAGAAACGGUCCGGCUAGAGGAGGCUAGAGGUGAGCGGAACGCACGGUGUAGGGGUGAAAUCCGUUGAUAUCGUGCGGAACACCGAAGGCGAAGGCAGCUCACUGGGACCUUCCUGACCCUGAGGCCCGAAAGCGUGGGGAGCGAAGAGGAUUAGAUACCCUCGUAGUCCACGCCCUAAACGAUGUCCGCUAGCUGUUUCGAGUGUCGACCCUCGGAGUGGCGAAGCUAACGCGUUAAGCGGACCGCCUGGGAACUACGGCCGCAAGGCUAAAACUCAAAGGAAUAGACGGGGACCCGCACAAGCGGUGGAGCAUGAGGUUUAAUUCGAUGAUAAGCGAGGAACCUUACCAGGGCUUGACAUCCCGGGAGAAAGCCGGCCGAAAGGUUGGCCCUCCAAGUUUUCUUGGACUGCCGGGACAGGUGCUGCAUGGUUGUCGUCAGCUCGUGCCUUGAGGUGUUCCCUUAAUUGGGGUAACGAGCGCAACCCCCAUCCUGUGUUACACGUGUCACAGGAAACUGCCCCCAUAUGGGGGAGGAAGGAGGGGAUGACGUCAAAUCCGCAUGGCCCUUUGACGCCCUGGGCUACACUCAUGCUACAAUGGCCGAGACAACGGGUUGCCAAGCCGUAAGGCGGAGCUAAUCCCUGAAACUCGGCCCCAGUUCGGAUUGAGGGCUGCAACCCGCCCUCAUGAAGCCGGAAUCGCUAGUAAUCGCGGAUCAGCCAUGCCGCGGUGAAUACGUUCUCGGGUCUUGUACUCACCGCCCGUCACGCCAAGGGAGCCGGGAGCAGGUGAAGCUCAGCUUUGCUGGGUAAGCCUGAGCUCGGUGACAUGGGCGAAGUCGUAACAAGGCACGGGUAGCGGAAGCUGUCCGUGGAUCA
rnacentral:rRNA from 1 species